rnacentral:miRNA from 1 species
AUUUGGUUGGUGCAAAAGUAAUUGUGGUUUUUGCCACUGAAAGUAGGCCAAAACCACAAUUACUUUUGCACCAACCAAUA